AUUGAACGCUGGCGGCAUGCUUUACACAUGCAAGUCGGACGAGUGGCGAACGGGUGAGUAACGCAUCGGAACGUACCGAGUAAUGGGGGAUAACUGUCCGAAAGGACAGCUAAUACCGCAUAUUAUUCGAGCGGCCGAUGUCUGAUUAGCUGGUUGGCGGGGUAAAGGCCCACCAAGGCGACGAUCAGUAGCGGGUCUGAGAGGAUGAUCCGCCACGCGGGGACUGUGACACGGCCCAGACUCCUUCUGAUGGCAGCAGUGGGGAAUUUUGGACAAUGGGCGCAAGCCUGAUCAAGCCAUGCAGCGUGUCUGAAGAGGACCUUCGGGUUGUAAAGGACUUUUGUCAGGGAAGCGGUACCGGAAUAGAAAGCCACGGCUAACUACGUGCCAGCAGCCGCGGUAAUAC
rnacentral:rRNA from 1 species